rnacentral:lncRNA from 1 species
CACAUCACACACCAGGUGUUCGGUGAAAGGUCCAAGCCAAAAGUCGUCGUCGUUUUAGAAUAUAUCGAGUCGAUUUGAAUUUGGUGAGCUGAUUCACGAUAUUUAUAUUUAGUUAAUAAAUGUUUUGGUUAGAUAAUUAUCAUUGUAGUUGUGUUUGAUGUAUGAUGAAAUGAUUUGGUUGUGUGCCACGAUUUUAUUGACGUCAUGAUUGGAUAGUAGAAGUGUUGUUUGAAGGGAAGUUUAGGUAUUAGGUGCAAAUUAUAAGAGGAGUGCUUUAGGGAGUACAUAUGUCGAGUAUGAUUCAAUGGGUGUUAUAAAACGCAGAGGAUGGUGUUGAUUAGGCAAAGAAUGCUUUGAUAGAUGCGUUAGUAAGCUGUGGUUAAUCAAAAUAGGAACUAAAUUGGCAUGUUUGUUGUUUGGACUAUGUGCCCAGUUUAGUAAUGCGGCUAGUUUUGAGAGGUAAAUCAUGUUUUCUAUAGAAGUGAUAUAUAUCAAAUUUGAAGAUUAUUUCUUUAUCUUACUUGUGUAAAAAUUUCACGACCAUAGGUCUAACAAUUUAGAAGUUAUGCUCUUCUCAAGUUCAGUAUCAGAAUCUGUCUAGAUUCUGUACAGAUUUCGAAAAUUGCCUUGUUUGAUUAAGUUAAACUAAGAAUCAGCCCUUAGUAAUUAUAGAAGAAUUGUAGUACUUUCCUUGAGAUUUCCAAAAAUUCUUGGAUCAUUUUUUUGUGAUCCAGAGGCCAAGUUAUAGUUGUUUAAAGUGUAAUCUUUGAAUCUGUCCAAAUUUAGAUAACAGAGCCUUUCUCAUGUCUUUUGACCUUGAUAUGCAUUGAAUAAAUGAAUUGUAUACAAUUCUACUAGCUUUCUAAAAAGUCUAGGAUCACCUGAAUUGGAUGAGUGAGACUCCAAUUAUGGAUUUUGAAGUGAGUAGUCGAAUUCUGUCCAAAUUUGGACAGAAUUUACGUUUAGCACUGUUUGACCUUUCAAAGUGUCAAAUCUUGUUGUGAUGAUAAUACCAAAGGUGUAGAGGACUUUAUAAGAUUUCUAGAAAGUCCUAGUUUACUAUUUUCGGAUGCAUAUCUUGUGAGUUAUGAGCUAAACAAAUAGUUGUUGUUCUGGUGUCCAAAAUCAGCAAGUAUUAAAAUGAUUUGCUUGGAGUUUCUUUUGUGUAGGUAACUAGAUUUGGUUAGUUAUUGUCUUGAUUAAUGAAGUAUUGUAGUUGCAUACGACUGUUUCUUUUCUUUCUUAAUGCUUGCCUUAGACUUUAGCAUUUUGAGAAGGAAGUAAAUACUUUGGUGAGUGUAUUUGAGUUAGCGACUAUUUAGACCUUUAAGUUAAGAUGAGUGCAAUUUCAUUGAACCCUAUGUUAAUUGGUAAUGAGUUAUCCGUUAGUUCUAAGUAUGUUCUGAUGUUUUGUUUAGUCGAUAUACUUUGAUAGUUAAUCCGGAGGAAUGUUUUAGAAAGCUAGAUGGAUGAUUUUUAACCAUACUAAGUCUUAGAUGUGCUCAAUAAUUGUGAGCUUGAAUUGUGACUUGACUCUCGAUUCUCUCUAUGUUCUAGUUAAGGAAAAUAUAUAGCUUGUGUAGGGUUCAAUAUUCUUUGAUGUUUGUGUUAGAUUUGGUUAAGGCGGAGAAACAUGAUUGUUAUGCUUAGUGAUAUGUCGACGUCUAGUGUUUGCUUAUGGGUGCUGUAAUGUGUCUCUCCACUAAGUGUUUAAUUCUCUACCACAUAGCAUUGUUUAUUAUCGUUCUAGUCCUUAUGUUCAUACAUGUGCAUUAUGCAUAUCAUUUAGGUAUGUUAAUUGAUCACACGGUGUGGAGGAAAAACGUUGGACUAAUCUCAAAGUGGUGCUGAUAAAUAAACUAGAGGAGUGGAUGAUCUGAUCAAGUACCAGGAUGGGAGAUGCUCACCAAGUGGUCGUAAUUUAACAACACUAACGUAGUGUUUAUCCCAGGCAAGCCCCGGUGCAUUUGCCACCUCCUUGUUGUUCUAAAAUUUUUAUCACUUAUCUGCUGCAUUAGGUGAUAGGAGUUGAAUGAUUAAACUGUUGCUGCAUAACUUCCUUGAACUGUUGAUUAUCAUCCUUGAUACCUGAUUUAAAAAGCUAGA